rnacentral:rRNA from 1 species
CCCUUUAGAUGUUCUGGGCCGCACGCGCGCUACACUGAUCCGUUCAACGAGUUUUUCUCCCUUGGCCGUCGGGUCUGGGUAAUCUUUGAAAUCGGAUCGUGCUGGGGAUAGAUGAUUGCAAUUAUUCGUCUUCAACGAGGAAUUCCUAGUAAGCGUGAGUCGUCAGCUCGCGUUGAUUACGUCCCUGCCCUUUGUACACACCGCCCGUCGCUCCUACCGAUUGGAUGGUCCGGUGAAAUUUUCGGAUCGUGGCUCGUUGCCUGCGGAUUUCGGUCUGCAAGUUGGGCCGUGAAAAGUUAAUUAAACCUUAUCAUCUAGAGGAAGGAGAAGUCGUAACA